GCCAGGCGUGGUGGUGCACACCUAUAAUCCCAGCAGCUCUGGAGGCUGAGGCAGGAGGAUCGAAAGUUCAAAGCCAGCCUCAG
rnacentral:sRNA from 1 species